GAGAGAGAGAGAGAGAGAGACAUGCAUGCCUACUCUUUAAUUUGAUAUAAAUAAUGCCUAGAAGGCCCUACCAAUUCUUAAAAACAAGACUGUAGAAUAAAUUAUCAAACACUUGUAAGACUCAGUAAGCAUAUGUACUUUUUUUUAUUGGAAAAUUAGGAGAAUGGAGGUUGGAAUGUUUACGUAGUUUAUUAAAGAUGAUUUUUAUUUUUUAAUGUAAAAAUAAAAAAAUGUAUAUAUCCUUUUUUUUAUUUUUCUCCUUUUUCUGUCAAGUUUAUAUCUAUUAAAUUUUCCAAGAAAAUAAAAUAAAAGAAAAGGAUAAUGGGUGUUUGAUUUCACUCACCAAUAAUAAUCCCAUCUGGGU
rnacentral:misc_RNA from 1 species